GUCUGUGGUGUGUAAUGAGGAGCAACCAGAUGCUGCUGGUCUGUGGUGUGUAAUGAGGAGCAACCAGAUGCUGCUGGUCUGUGGUGUGUAAUGAGGAGCAACCAGAUGCUGCUGGUCUGUGGUGUGUAAUGAGGAGCAACCAGAUGCUGCUGGUCUGUGGUGUGUAAUGAGGAGCAACCAGAUGCUGCUGGUCUGUGGUGUGUAAUGAGGAGCAACCAGACGCUGCUGGUCUGUGGUGUGUAAUGAGGAGCAACCAGAUGCUGCUGGUCUGUGGUGUGUAAUGAGGAGCAACCAGAUGCUGCUGGUCUGUGGUGUGUAAUGAGGAGCAACCAGAUGCUGCUGGUCUGUGGUGUGUAAUGAGGAGCAACCAGAUGCUGCUGGUCUGUGGUGUGUAAUGAGGAGCAACCAGAUGCUGCUGGUCUGUGGUGUGUAAUGAGGAGCAACCAGA